CGGCGUGCUUAACACAUGCAAGUCGAGCGAAGCAGUUAAGUUGAUUUCUUCGGAUUGAUUCUUAACUGACUGAGCGGCGGACGGGUGAGUAACGCGUGGGUGACCUGCCCCAUACCGGGGGAUAACAGCUGGAAACGGCUGCUAAUACCGCAUAAGCGCACAGAGCUGCAUGGCUCGGUGUGAAAAACUCCGGUGGUAUGGGAUGGGCCCGCGUCUGAUUAGGCAGUUGGCGGGGUAACGGCCCACCAAACCGACGAUCAGUAGCCGGCCUGAGAGGGCGACCGGCCACAUUGGGACUGAGACACGGCCCAAACUCCUACGGGAGGCAGCAGUGGGGAAUAUUGCACAAUGGGGGAAACCCUGAUGCAGCGACGCCGCGUGAAGGAUGAAGUAUUUCGGUAUGUAAACUUCUAUCAGCAGGGAAGAAAAUGACGGUACCUGACUAAGAAGCCCCGGCUAACUACGUGCCAGCAGCCGCGGUAAUACGUAGGGGGCAAGCGUUAUCCGGAUUUACUGGGUGUAAAGGGAGCGUAGACGGUAUGGCAAGUCUGAUGUGAAAGGCCAGGGCUCAACCCUGGGACUGCAUUGGAAACUGUCGAACUAGAGUGUCGGAGAGGCAAGUGGAAUUCCUAGUGUAGCG
rnacentral:rRNA from 1 species